rnacentral:sRNA from 1 species
GCCAGGCAUGGUAGCACAUGCCUGUAACCCCAGUUACUUGGGAGGCUGAGGCAGGAGUAUCACAAGAUGGUUACCAGCCUCAGCAACUUAAUGAGAUCCUGUCUCAA